rnacentral:rRNA from 1 species
CCUACGGGGUGCAGCAGUGAGGAAUAUUGGUCAAUGGUCGGGAGACUGAACCAGCCAAGCCGCGUGAGGGAUGAAGGUACAGAGUAUCGUAAACCUCUUUUGUCAGGGAACAAAGGCGGGGACGUGUCCCCGGAUGCGUGUACCUGAAGAAAAGGCAUCGGCUAACUACGUGCCAGCAGCCGCGGUAAUACGGAGGAUGCGAGCGUUAUCCGUAUUUAUUGGGUUUAAAGGGUGCGCAGGUGGUCUGUUAAGUCAGCGGUAAAAGCCCGGGGCUAAACCCCGGCCCGACGUUGAAACUGGCAGUCUCGAGUUGGAGAGAAGUAUGCGGAAUGCGCGGUGUAGCGGUGAAAUGCAUAGAUAUCGCGCAGAACUCCGAUUGCGAAGGCAGCAUGCCGGCUCCACACUGACGCUGAGGCACGAAAGCGUGGGUAUCGAACAGGAUUAGAUACCCCUGUAGUC